rnacentral:rRNA from 1 species
GAUGAACGCUAGCUACAGGCUUAACACAUGCAAGUCGAGGGGCAGCGGGAUUGAAGCUUGCUUCAAUUGCCGGCGACCGGCGCACGGGUGAGUAACGCGUAUCCAACCUUCCGUACACUCAGGGAUAGCCUUUCGAAAGAAAGAUUAAUACCUGAUGGUAUGAUGAGAUUGCAUGAUAGCAUCAUUAAAGAUUUAUCGGUGUACGAUGGGGAUGCGUUCCAUUAGGUAGUAGGCGGGGUAACGGCCCACCUAGCCAACGAUGGAUAGGGGUUCUGAGAGGAAGGUCCCCCACAUUGGAACUGAGACACGGUCCAAACUCCUACGGGAGGCAGCAGUGAGGAAUAUUGGUCAAUGGACGAGAGUCUGAACCAGCCAAGUAGCGUGAAGGAUGAAGGUCCUACGGAUUGUAAACUUCUUUUAUAAGGGAAUAAACCCUCCCACGUGUGGGAGCUUGUAUGUACCUUAUGAAUAAGCAUCGGCUAACUCCGUGCCAGCAG